rnacentral:rRNA from 1 species
GAUGAACGCUGGCGGCGUGCCUAAUACAUGCAAGUCGAGCGAACGGACGAGAAGCUUGCUUCUCUGAUGUUAGCGGCGGACGGGUGAGUAACACGUGGAUAACCUACCUAUAAGACUGGGAUAACUUCGGGAAACCGUAGCUAAUACCGGAUAAUAUUUUGAACCGCAUGGUUCAAAAGUGAAAGACGGUCUUGCUGUCACUUAUAGAUUGAUCCGCGCUGCAUUAGCUAGUUGGUAAGGUAACGGCUUAACAAGGCAACGAUGCAUAGCCGACCUGAGAGGGUGAUCGGACACACUGGAACUGAGACACGGCCCAGACUCCUACGGGAGGCAGCAGUAGGGAAUCUUCCGCAAUGGGCGAAAGCCUGACGGAGCAACGCCGCGUGAGUGAUGAAGGUCUUCGGAUCGUAAAACUCUGUUAUCAGGGAAGAACAUAUGUGUAAGUAACUGUGCACAUCUUGACGGUACCUAAUCAGAAAGCCACGGCUAACUACGUG